UAAUAUGUAUCAUGAUCAAUCAAAGGUACAAUGACUGACUACUGAUAUUUCCUAAUACAAUUGUAUUUUUUGUUUUACCAACUUUCAGAUUUUUCGAAAUCAUGAUUAUUAUAUAGUGUGUAUAAUAUUUUCUUGCUAGCUCUAUACUAAGAUUUUGAGGAAUCGGCCAAUGCAAAAAUAAGAUAGGUGUAUGUAGUAGUUAUCUUAUACAUGUCCUGUUUGAUGUGUUUCAGAAUGGAUAGAGAUCAAUGAUUUGGAAUAUAAACCUUCAGAUGAUAUUUUUUCCCUCCAUGUGACCAUGUCAUCCAUACUUUUUUAGGUUUGUUUCUAAGAGUAUGUAUGCUCUUCCCAUUUAAGUUUCAAUACUUGGGGUUUAGAGCACUUAUAGACAAUCAAGUAAGUCUUUCCCUCUUUAACUAUUCUCACAUCAUUACUGUUUGAUCAAUAUAGGUGUACUUGAUGACACAUAUGCCC
rnacentral:lncRNA from 1 species